rnacentral:tRNA from 1 species
GCAGGUAUAGUUCAAAGGCAGAACGUCAGCCUUCCAAGCUGAAUAUGCGAGUUCGAUUCUCGUUACUUGCUCCA